GCCGAAAUUAAUACAACAUUGUAAAGCAAUUAUACUUCAAUAAAAAUGAGUGCUCAAAUUAGUAACAGAAGUUUGCUAUUCUGCAAAGAAUUAAAACAAACUCAACAUUUUAUUGCUUCCUUGGAAAACAAUGACUUCUAGGGCGAGCUAACAAAAAAAAAAAAAAAGAAAAAAGAGGAUGUUAGGCAAAAAGUGCUGAAAAGGGCCUUUGUGUAAUUCAACACAAUCCAAAGGUUCAGAAGUUGUGUUUCCUUAUCAGAAUCUCUUGGGGUUAGGAGAGGUGAAGGAGGUAAAGUUAAUUUAAAAAUCCAGAGUCCUGAGACCCACCCUGGAUUCGCUAAAUAAAUAUCUGUGGGUAUAUGAUAAGAAUCAGUUUGAGUAUACUUUUUAGUAAUUCUUGGCACACUCAAGCAUAUCUUUUAACACAUGAGAUAUUUCUAGUUCAUCAUGUUGUUUCUAUUUUGUCAUGGGUAUAUUCAGAUUUUUGUAACUAUAUGUAUGCAAAAAUUAAUAUUCGAUAGAUAUAUUUUUGUCCAUAAUAAUCCUGUGAAGGCAUAAUGGUGGAAAACAUUUACAUGCAUGGUUUAAAAACAUAAAAGUCAAAGUGAAAGUCCCUCACUCAUGUCUGACUCUUUGGGACCCCAUGGACUGUAGCCUCCCAAGCUUCUCUGUCCAUUGAAUUCUCCAGGCAAGAAUACUGGAGUGGGUAGCC
rnacentral:lncRNA from 1 species